rnacentral:rRNA from 1 species
CCCAUGCCAGUCGAGCGCCCCGCAAGGGGAGCGGCAGACGGGUGAGUAACGCGUGGGAACGUACCUUUUGCUACGGAAUAACUCAGGGAAACUUGUGCUAAUACCGUAUGUGCCCUUCGGGGGAAAGAUUUAUCGGCAAAGGAUCGGCCCGCGUUGGAUUAGCUAGUUGGUGAGGUAAAGGCUCACCAAGGCGACGAUCCAUAGCUGGUCUGAGAGGAUGAUCAGCCACACUGGGACUGAGACACGGCCCACACUCCUACGGGAGGCA